AUAUCAUGCAUGCUAAUUACUCUGUCUAAACUUGAAUGUGUCGACAUUUCUUUCUAUGGCAUCAAUAGUCGACCGCCCUUUUAUGAAUCCGUAUUGGUUUGGAUUAAAACCAUUUAACUUUUUAAUUUCUUUUUUUAACCUUUCGUUGAUUAUUGUUCAAAGGUAUUUCCAAGUAUAUCUAACAAACAAAUAGGUCUAAAUUUUUUAGCUUCAUCUGCCUGUUUAGCCUACCUGUUUGGAUACUUUCCAUUCGUCUGGGAAGAAUUUCUGGUUUAUACAUUCAGUAUAUAGUUGCGCAAAGAAGGGGAUAUUACUUAAGAGAAGCCAUUUUGCGUGCUCUGGAUUCAUGUUAUCGGGCCCUGAGGCUUUGUUCGCUUUGAUGCGAGUAAUAGCAUAUUUCAUCUCUUCUUCCGAUACGGGGGACGCGUCCUUUCUGUUAGACUUUUCCACAGUCGGUAAACAGUCUGAGUUAUCUGUGAUAAAUAAUUCCUUAAAGAAUAAGAUUUUUUCCCUUGAGUUUAACCUUACUCGUGGCCCGGAGAUUCUCAUUUGGCUCUUCACAAUCUGGUAAGCCUGUCCGAAUAUUAUGUCGUCUUUUAGUGACGUGAGAAGUUCUUUCCAUUUUGUUUUUUUAGCUUUUUGUAUUUGUUUGUUGAGAACGUUUCUUGCUUCUUUAUAUGACUUCUGCAAAGCUUCUCUAUUAUUGUUGUUCCGUGUUUCUCUAAGAAGUUUUCGCCUUUUUGUUUUCACGUCGGUAAUGUGGGUUGCUAUAGAGUCAUCCCAGCAAUAUGGAAGUUUGUAGUUGACAUCUACGCGAAUUUUACUGCAUGACCAGUUAAACGCUUCCUAAAUCAGAAGUAGUUUUGUUUCAAUAUCCUUUCCUUCUGAUUUUUUUAGAAACUCCGCAGUGUUUUUUUUUUUAAACUCUGCUUGCUUUACCUGCCUUAUGUAUCUUGGUUUAUCGAAGUUUGUCUGUUGGAGACUUACUUUUACUAAUAUAAAUUGAUGGUCGCUAAGAGAUUCUUCUUCGUGCAGUACUUGCCAACUACUUUUUCCCCACUUUAAAAUUUCUUCACAACAAACUAGUAAUUUCAGCAUUUGAAAAUUGUUUAUCAGAAGUAAAGGAGGUUUCAUGAGGUCCGGGUUGUGACAAUGGAACACUAUUUUGCUGUCUGACGCGCUCAUACGACAUAAUAGUGCGAACAGUAGCCUGGACUAUGUCAUCCAUCGCAAUUUCAUGCACGUUUUCACCGCCAAUCUCACUAAAGCAUCUAUUACACAGGGCGAGAUUACUAGCCAAUUUUAGCCGCGCCGGCGACUAAAAUUUAAAGCGAGUGAGAGAGUUAGAACAAGCUCAACGAGCGCAAACUACACCGCGCUAGUUUUACUGCGCUUUACUCGCAGGGUAUUGCAUUUUUGGUAGUUGUUUGUUUUGUAUUUUUCGUUCGAAAACUCAAAAUGUAUGUUAAAUGGAAUAGUAAUCAAAUUAUAGAGUUUUUAAAUAUUUAUGAACAAUUUCCAGUAUUAUGGAAUAUUAAACCCAAAGAUUAUCUAAAUAUUAAACUAAAAGACGUAUUAUUUAAGAACAUGUAUGAAGAAUUAGAUGAUAAAAGGCUUCUAAAAGGAAUGGAUGAAAAACAAAAUUAAAAAUUUGAAAGAUGUGUUUCGUCAAGAACUGGCCAAAAUAGAACGAAGCAAAUAAAGCAAUAAAAGUGGCUGUGGAACAGAAGACAUUUACACCCCAAAGUUAACAUGGUUUGAGGCUGCCCAUUUUUUUGCAGAAGUUUUGUCAACAAGGCAUAGUAAUUCAAACUUGACUCUACCCAGCACACAGAGUAUAUCUGAGGAAGUCUCAAACUCUCAAAUUGAACAGCCUGAUGAUGAAGAACCCGAUACAUCGCCCAAGAAACAAAAUGUAAAACUCUCACAGGCGAAGGGACCUCCUAAACCUAAAAAAAGGGUGAAAAAACAAGCAGAUCCAGAAAUUACUGAUGCAGUCGGUCAGUUAAAUAGAAUUGCUGAAAAUGUAUCACAGGUAAAACUGUACGACGAAUUAGGGAAGUAUGUAGCUGCAGAGCUACGUCAGGCUAUUUUAUUGCAGCAAGAAAUCCAGAAUUCUAUUACACGUGUAAAGCUAAUCUGUUUAUAAAACAAUAACCAAAUAAAUACUUACUACGGAGAACCCCUUCAACUGCAAACUUCUCCAUUGUUAUCCUCCCCAAGUGAUCCCAGCCCUGCCUCAACCACAUAUGAAACAUACCCAAAUCCAAAAUAACGAAGAUAACGGAUAUGGUCACGAUGUUCUUCAUCAAGCACUUAUAAAUACAUUUUCGGCACAAUUUUAAUUCUUAAUGAAUAAAUAAUAUUUCUUAUAAAUAAGUAACUUGUUUCAUAAAUAACGUGUGAAAAAUAAA